UAUUCUGCCUUGUUCGAGUAAUUAUAGUUUUUAUAAUCCAACACAUCUUAUAAGGGAAUUCAGUCUCCGCUUGCGGACUGCAGACCUCCCGCUUUAUGCGGAAGAAGGGAGCGAGAAACAAGAGGGCGUUUACCCACCUGCUUCGUGCGGGUUUUAUGCACUAUAUGACGGCAAGGCGGUUUAU
rnacentral:other from 1 species